rnacentral:rRNA from 1 species
GCCAGGCAGCCGCGGUAAUUCCAGCUCCAAUAGCGUAUAUUAAAGUUGUUGCAGUUAGAACGCUCGUAGUCGGAUUUCGGGGCAGUCCGACCGGUCUGCCGAUGGGUAUGCACUGGCCGGAGUGUCCUUUUUGCCGGAGACCGUGCCUACUCUUAACUGAGCGGGGGCGGGAGACGGCACUUUUACUUUGAAAAAAUCAGAGUGUUUCAAGCAGGCAGCUCGCUCUUGCAUGGAUUAGCAUGGGAUAAUGAAAUAGGACUUUGGUGCUAUUUUGUUGGUUUCGAACACCGAAGUAAUGAUGAGAAGGGACAGUCAGGGGCACUCGUAUUCCGCAGAGAGAGGUGAAAUUCUCAGACCCGCGGAAGACGAACCACUGCGAAAGCAUUUGCCAGGGAUGUUUUCACUGAUCAAGAACGAAAGUUAGGGGAUCGAAGAUGAUCAGAUACCGUCGUAGUCUUAACCAUAAACCAUGCCGACUAGGGAUUGGAGGAUGUUCACUGAUUGACUCCUUCAGCACCUUACGGGAAACUAAAGUCUUUGGGUUCCGGGGGGAGUAUGGUCGCAAGGCUGAAACUUAAAGGAAUUGACGGAAGGGCACCACCAGGUGUGGAGCCUGCGGCUUAAUUUGACUCAACACGGGGAAACUUACCAGGUCCAGACAUUGUGAGGAUUGACAGAUUGAGAGCUCUUUCUUGAUUCGAUGGGUGGUGGUGCAUGGCCGUUCUUAGUUGGUGGAGUGAUUUGUCUGGUUAAUUCCGUUAACGAACGAGACCUUAGCCUGCUAAAUAGUGACGCGAACUCUUUGUUGGCGGGCCACUUCUUAGAGGGACAACUUGUCUUCAACAAGUGGAAGUUUGAGGCAAUAACAGGUCUGUGAUGCCCA